rnacentral:rRNA from 1 species
AUUGAACGCUGGCGGCGUGCUUAACACAUGCAAGUCGAGCGGUAACAGGCGUAGCAAUACGUGCUGACGAGCGGCGAACGGGUGCGUAAUACAUGGGAAUCUGACCUUUGGGGGGGAAUAACCCGGCGAAAGCCGGGCUAAUGCCGCAUGAGAGCUUCGGAGGAAAGGGGGGGAGCGUAAGACCUUGCGCCGAUGGACGAGCCCAUGUCGGAUUAGCUAGUGGGGGAGGUAACGGCUCACCAAGGCGACGAGCCGUAGCUGGUCUCAGAGGACGGCCCGCUAGACUGGGACUGAGAGACGGCGCAGACUCCUACGGGAGGCAGCAGUGGGGAAUAUUGGACAAUGGGCGAAAGCCUGAUCCAGCGACGCCGCGUGUGUGAAGAAGGCCUGCGGGUUGUAAAGCACUUUCGAUGGGAACGAAAUGUGCCGGGCUAAUCCCUCGGCAAGCUGACGUUACUCAAUGAAGAAGCACCGGCUAACUCUGUGCCAGCCGCCGCAGUAACAC